GGCUUACCAUGCAGUCGAGGGGCAGCAUUUCAGUUUGCUUGCAAACUGGAGAUGGCGACCGGCGCACGGGUGAGUAACACGUAUCCAACCUGCCGAUAACUCGGGGAUAGCCUUUCGAAAGAAAGAUUAAUACCCGAUGGNAUAAUCAGACCGCAUGGUCUUAUUAUUAAAGAAUUUCGGUUAUCGAUGGGGAUGCGUUCCAUUAGGCAGUUGGUGAGGUAACGGCUCACCAAACCUUCGAUGGAUAGGGGUUCUGAGAGGAAGGUCCCCCACAUUGGAACUGAGACACGGUCCAAACUCCUACGGGAGGCAGCAGUGAGGAAUAUUGGUCAAUGGGCGCAGGCCUGAACCAGCCAAGUAGCGUGAAGGAUGACUGCCCUAUGGGUUGUAAACUUCUUUUAUAUGGGAAUAAAGUUUUCCACGUGUGGAAUUUUGUAUGUACCAUAUGAAUAAGGAUCGGCUAACUCCGUGCCAGCAGCCGCGGUAAUACGGAGGAUCCGAGCGUUAUCCGGAUUUAUUGGGUUUAAAGGGAGCGUAGGUGGACAGUUAAGUCAGUUGUGAAAGUUUGCGGCUCAACCGUAAAAUUUGCAGUUGAUACUGGCUGUCUUGAGUACAGUAGAGGUGGGCGGAAUUCGUGGUGUAGCGGUGAAAUGCUUAGAUAUCACGAAGAACUCCGAUUGCGAAGGCAGCUCACUGGACUGCAACUGACACUGAUGCUCGAAAGUGUGGGUAUCAAACAGGAUUAGAUACCCUGGUAGUCCACACAGUAAACGAUGAAUACUCGCUGUUUGCGAUAUACAGUAAGCGGCCAAGCGAAAGCAUUAAGUAUUCCACCUGGGGAGUACGCCGGCAACGGUGAAACUCAAAGGAAUUGACGGGGGCCCGCACAAGCGGAGGAACAUGUGGUUUAAUUCGAUGAUACGCGAGGAACCUUACCCGGGCUUAAAUUGCAUUUGAAUANUUUGGAAACAGNUUAGCCGCAAGGCAAAUGUGAAGGUGCUGCAUGGUUGUCGUCAGCUCGUGCCGUGAGGUGUCGGCUUAAGUGCCAUAACGAGCGCAACCCUUAUCUUUAGUUACUAACAGGUCAUGCUGAGGACUCUAGAGAGACUGCCGUCGUAAGAUGUGAGGAAGGUGGGGAUGACGUCAAAUCAGCACGGCCCUUACGUCCGGGGCUACACACGUGUUACAAUGGGGGGUACAGAAGGCAGCUACCUGGUGACAGGAUGCUAAUCCCAAAAGCCUCUCUCAGUUCGGAUCGAAGUCUGCAACCCGACUUCGUGAAGCUGGAUUCGCUAGUAAUCGCGCAUCAGCCAUGGCGCGGUGAAUACGUUCCCGGGCCUUGUACACACCGCCCGUCAAGCCAUGAAAGCCGGGGGUACCUGAAGUACGUAACCGCAAGGAGCUCCUAGGAAAC
rnacentral:rRNA from 1 species